rnacentral:tRNA from 1 species
GGGUCUGUAGCUCAGUUGGUUAGAGCGCACCCCUGAUAAGGGAUAAGGGUGAGGUCGGUGGUUCAAAUCCACCCAGACCCA